AAACUGUUGCCUCGGCGGGAUCUCUGCCCCGGGUGCGUCGCAGCCCCGGACCAAGGCGCCCGCCGGAGGACCAACCAAAACUCUUAUUGUAUACCCCCUCGCGGGUUUUUUUAUAAUCUGAGCCUUCUCGGCGCCUCUCGUAGGCGUUUCGAAAAUGAAUCAAAACUUUCAACAACGGAUCUCUUGGUUCUGGCAUCGAUGAAGAACGCAGCGAAAUGCGAUAAGUAAUGUGAAUUGCAGAAUUCAGUGAAUCAUCGAAUCUUUGAACGCACAUUGCGCCCGCCAGUAUUCUGGCGGGCAUGCCUGUCCGAGCGUCAUUUCAACCCUCGAACCCCUCCGGGGGGUCGGCGUUGGGGAUCGGCCCUGCCUCUUGGCGGCGGCCGUCUCCGAAAUACAGUGGCGGUCUCGCCGCAGCCUCUCCUGCGCAGUAGUUUGCACACUCGCAUCGGGAGCGCGGCGCGUCCACAGCCGUUAAACACCCAACUUCUGAAAUGUUGACCUCGGAUCAGGUAGGAAUACCCGCUGAACUUAAGCAUAUCAAAAGNCGGGAGGAAA
rnacentral:rRNA from 1 species